GAAAUGCGAUAAGUAGUGUGAAUUGCAGAAUUCAGUGAAUCAUCGAAUCUUUGAACGCACAUUGCGCCCUUUGGUAUUCCAAAGGGCAUGCCUGUUCGAGCGUCAUUUGUACCCUCAAGCUUUGCUUGGUGUUGGGCGUCUUGUCUUUAGCUUUGCUGGAGACUCGCCUUAAAGUAAUUGGCAGCCGGCCUACUGGUUUCGGAGCGCAGCACAAGUCGCACUCUCUAUCAGCAAAGGUCUAGCAUCCAUUAAGCCUUUUUUUCAACUUUUGACCUCGGAUCAGGUAGGGAUACCCGCUGAACUUAAGC
rnacentral:misc_RNA from 1 species